UACGGGGGGGGCUAGCGUUGUUCGGAAUUACUGGGCGUAAAGGGCUCGUAGGCGGCCUGUCAAGUCGGACGUGAAAUCCCCCGGCUCAACCUGGGAACUGCGUCCGAUACUGGCUGGCUUGAAUCCGGGAGAGGGAUGCGGAAUUCCAGGUGUAGCGGUGAAAUGCGUAGAUAUCUGGAGGAACACCGGUGGCGAAGGCGGCAUCCUGGACCGGGAUUGACGCUGAGGAGCGAAAGCCAGGGGAGCAAAC
rnacentral:rRNA from 1 species